UACGUAGGGUUCGAGCGUUGUCCGGAAUUAUUGGGCGUAAAGGGCUCGUAGGCGGUUUGUCGCGUCGGGAGUGAAAACCAGGUGCUUAACACCUGGCUUGCUUUCGAUACGGGCGGACUAGAGGUAUACAGGGGAGAACGGAAUUCCAGGUGUAGCGGUGAAAUGCGUAGAUAUCUGGAGGAACACCGGUGGCGAAGGCGGCAUCCUGGACCGGUAUUGACGCUGAGGCGCGAAAGCCAGGGGAGCAAACGGG
rnacentral:rRNA from 1 species